UCCAGAGCGCGGCUCUGGCGGGGAUCGCCUUCCAGACCCACGUGCGGCUCUCUGACUUAUUUAUUGUGGCCCGGGCUGGCGACAUGGUAUCGAUACCUGACUCCCAGGGCCGGCGCCCCAGAGCUGGCCUCCGGAACAGCACCCCCUCCCCAAGCCGCAGUCACUGACCACUGUCCCCUCCUGGCCCAAGACUGCGCCCAGGGAGCCGCCGCCUGCCUUCUCUGAUACCUGGCCGGCAGGACGGUCCUACCAGCAGGCCAGGGAGCCCUUCAGGCCCGCGGCACACAGGGCCCAGGACAGGACCUGCCUGCAGGGCUCAUCCAAGGAGCAGGGCCAUCUGCCCUCCCCUGGCUCCGCUUCUACCGAGUGGACCCGGCCCUGCUUCAGUGCCCAGGUCCUCACUGGAUUUUCUGAGCUUGGACCGGCUUCAAACUGAUUGAAGACACCUAGAGCUUGUAUGUUCGGCUGAGCCUCCUUUUAAGCCUCUCCAAAUUUUUUCAGAAAAUACCUGAGUAGAAAAAAGUGAGUCACCUGUCCUACUCAAAAUUCCCCUCCUCCUGGAAAAGCAGCUGUGGUCGGCAUGGUUCAUGGAAAUUCAAUAUUCCAAAACCCUGAUCCCCGCCUUCCAUUGUAAGUGAUCCAGCCCUCGGAUAAAUUCCCACAGGCACCUGCAGGCUGACUGGGAGGAUGUGCUGACUUGGGAGUGUUACCUGUAAUUACAAAACACCUGGAAGUAACCAAGGGCACCUGGUUAAAUAACCCCAGAAUGUUCACUUCAUACUUUAACUUAAAACAUUUUAAUGUAAUGCUGUGUACAGUGAUACAACAUAAUCUCCAAAGUUUGCUGAAUUAAAAAUAAAAAGAGCAACAGAUACACAAUGAUCCACUAUGUUAAAAAACAGUCUAUGCCGCUGUCCAGGAAGCUACUGAAAGGAUGAACAUGAGGAAAAUUGAUGGGCAGGUGUAAACUUCUUAUUAUAUGCCAGAGAGUGAUGUUAGACUUAUUAAGUAAACAUUUUACAGUCACUUUUUCAAACUAGUUAAAGUGCAUCUCAUUACUUUGACAUUUGAUGCCCCUUCACUUUGCGUUGAUGGCGUAACCCUCUUGGAUGUAAUCGGAUCUCUGUUGGGUUAGGAGGUGUGUCCUUCAGACCUGCGAAGACUUUCCCCCUGGGAAGCUGCAGUGGGACACAUACACAUUGGAAGGGGGUGUGGAGUACACCUCUCCCUGGCCUCUACCAGGUGCCUGUGCUUCAGCUCAUGACUUCUGCUCAGUCAUGCACCUGCCCAGAGAGUGUGCACGUGUCUGCAUGGGGCAUUCCACUUGGCACAGCAAGGACGCAAGGUGGAGGCUUCUGAAAUCCUGCUGUGCAUGUAAGGAAAUGCCUGCUGCUCCUUGGUGUCCCCCAGCGCCCAGCCUGGCUGUCCCCAGUGCACCCACUGCUCAUGGACACUUCCUGUUAGGGGAGAAACUCGGGUUCUACACAGAGCAGGCCCACGAGCCAAUGGGGCACAGCAGACACCAAAUGAUGGGUCACUCGAGACCCCUAAGACUGGACAUGGUGUCACCCUGACCCCUUCACCUGGUCCCUACCAUGAGCCUUGCCCAGGAAAACCACCACCGUGAUGACCUUCCAAAAGUCUGUCCUCAGGCUUUAGCAGAGUGCCAUUUCUCCUGCCCGAAAGUCCCACUCCAAGCUGACACUGUGAAACUGCCGUGUGACAGGACCUUGGUCUAGAAGAAGGUCUAUGCUAGCCCAGCUCUGCCCCUGAACUGUUCCUGGCUGGUCAGCAACCUGGGCUCUCAGGACAGCCAUCUGACCCCUGUGGCUGCCAUGACCCUGUCCUAGCCUUUCUGAAACCUCUAUCUGUAACUGUGUGAAACGUCACGUGUGACUGCAGCGUGACGAUAUUAGAGAGCACCUGUGAUUGCCUGUCCCACAGGUGACCCUGGAAGUUUAUUGUUAUUCCGGUCCCCCGAAGUUGCUUCGGGCCUCGCCAGGUUGCUGAGGCUGGCUUUGAACUCGUGACCCUCCUGCCGCAGCCUCCCAAGCAGCUGGGACCAGGCGUGUGCUACUGUACCCGCCUAAUCUUCUUAUAAGGACACCAGUCUGCUGGAUCAGGGCCACCCUGAUGACCUCACUUUAACUUAAUCACCCUGCAAAGGCCCUGCCUCCGUGUCCAGCCACAUGCAGAGGUCCCGGGGUCAGGACACACCAGCUUGGCGGAGCCCCACGGCCCCAGAGGCUCACUGUGGUGCACGUCCUGUCUCUGCGGGGACCACGGGGGUUAUGUAAUGCCAAAGGCUCCUUAAGCUGGGACUUACAGCUCCUACCACCUCUUGGGAACAGAACCUAAAGGAACCUCAGAUCUGGAGGGAGAGAAGCCGAGGGUCAGGCCUGCUCUGCCUCUGUCCAUGCCUUCUUCAGAAAGAGCCCCGCCCUGUGAACCUGAGCGACCACAUCAGGACAGGCAGUGAUGAUGGCGUGACAGCAGUUGGCCUUUGCUGCACGUACUGCACGCACAGCACCAUGCUAAGUGCUUUUCACAUGAUCUUCCAGCGCUCAGGGAGGGAUGGUUGUUCUUCCUGGUUUUCAACUGAGGAUGCACAGAGAAGCUAGGUAACUUGCCUGAGGUCACACAGCUGGAAAAUGUCCCUUCAGCCAUGAAGUGUCUUUACUCAGUCCCUGGUAAAUAAUUUGAGUAAAAACAGAAGGGAAGGCCUACCUCCUGCUGUGCCCAGCUAAAGGCUGGCCAGGAAAGACUGGCUCCCAGUCUGAGGGGAAAGGCCUGGGCUGGGGAGUGGUCAGAGGCAGAAGCCCCUGCCUCAGAGAGGUUGGCCUGCACCGUCUCAAAGUUCAGGUGAGGCUGAGUCUGUGGGCAAGAGGGACACCUGGGCAAGUGUGUGCCCGUCCUGUCUGGGUCCCUCUUCCUGGGGACUGCACCCUCUGGCUCCUGCUCAGCCCGCUCCCUCAGCGGCCAGUCUCAACCUCACAGUCUGCCUCCCUGGCAGUGGCUUGGCCUCCAAGGACAGGCACUGGACCCCCUGCUCUCAGGUCGUGAGGCUGAGUGAGACGGGAAGGGAGUCUGAAUGGACAGCAGCUGUCCCCACCCAGGGCAGCACACCGUGGGCACUGUGGGCCCGAGAGUGGCCGGUGCUGGAAGGAGGAAGGGAAGAGGAGGAGGAAGGAGAGAGGAAGCCCCCCCAGGUCCAGCACGGGCCCACUGAGUGUGCAGCACAGCUGGACCCCCAGGAGCUGGGAUCUGGGCCUGAACUCUGCUUGGUCACCUGGCAGUGGCCUGCUGAGAGCAGCCGCUCUCAGUGCAGUCAACAAACCCUAGUUCCCAGCCUGUGUGACCGGGAGGCUGUGACGUUUCUAAAUGCACCAGAGGAGACUAGGUUUGGAUUUGCAAGAGUGGCCCUGCUGCAGAGGCCAGUGCCAUGCGACCCGCGGCUCCCAGCUGAUGCUGCCCAUGACCUUGCUGGAUCCGCACUGCGAGCGCCUGCUCCCGCCUCCUGCCCAGAGCACAGCUGGGCAGCUGCAGGGCUUGCCCUCUUGAAGCCUGGCCAGUGAGCGCCGAGUGCCUGUGGGGGUCUGCUUCCCUGCAGGCUGGUGUGCCCUUCCCGCUGCUGUGCCCCACAUCCUGCCUCCACCUUCCUGGAUGCUGGACCUGCCUGGGGGCCUGUCCCCUCUCUGGCUGAAACCCUUGCACCAAAGCCUUCCUAUGCCUGCCGUUCCCAGGGCCUGUGGCCCUCCAUCCCGAAGCCAUGAGGUAGAGACACCCGUGCACAUGUCUACACGGCAUCAGCUCCACGGUCCUCCUGGGGAGCUCCUUCCCACCGUGGCCAUCACCCUGGGAGAUUCAGCUCCUUCCACAGGGUGGGCGUGGGGGAAUCCUCCCCUUCACCUGGGGCCUGGGCUGCUCCUGUGAUGCACCAUUUGCUUUAGCCAAUGAUACCAUUCAAAAUGGUGAAAAAGAGCCAGGCUUGGUGGUGCACACCUGUGAUCUCAGCAACUCAGGAGGCUGAGGCAGGAGGAUCCCAAGUUCAAGGCCAGCCUCAGCAACUUGGCUAGAUCCUGCCUCAAAAUUUAAAAAAAAAUUAACAAGUGGAGGUGAGGCUCGCUCUGCCUGGUCCGGAUCCAACAGGAGGCAAGCCCAGGUGUGCGGGGAGCACCUCGUUGGCAGAGGACAGCGAGGACAGACUGCGGGAUCCCAGACCUCGCUGAGCCACGGUGCCUUUGUGGUUUUGCGUCAGAGAGGAUAAAUCGCAGGCCCCGGGUGGGCUUCGUUGGCUUUGUGUGCAGCUGGGCCUGAGGCUCCUUCAGCCCCGUAGUGCCCCGCCCCUGCCACCCUGCUCUCCUG